rnacentral:rRNA from 1 species
GACGAACGCUGGCGGCGUGCCUAACACAUGCAAGUCAAAGGAAAGCAACUUCGGUUGUAAGUACUUGGCGCAAGGGUGAGUAAUGUAUAGGUAAUCUGCCCUUAGGACUGGCAUAACCUCGAGAAAUCGAGGACAAUACCAGAUGAUGCAGCGGGACCGCAUGGUCAUGUUGUUAAAGAUUUAUCGCCUAAGGAUGAACCUAUAUCCCAUCAGGUAGUUGGCAGGAUAAUAGCCUACCAAGCCUACGACGGGUAGCUGGUCUGAGAGGAUGAUCAGCCACAUUGGAACUGAGACACGGUCCAGACUCCUACGGGAGGCAGCAGUGAGGAAUAUUGCGCAAUGGACGAAAGCCUGACGCAGCAACGCCGCGUGGAUGAUGAAGUUCUUCGGAAUGUAAAGUCCUUUUGUAGAGGAAGAACAUGUCGGUUUACCGGCACUGACGGUACUCUGCGAAUAAGCCACGGCUAACUCUGU